rnacentral:misc_RNA from 1 species
GGCAUGUCGGUUCCCUGCUCGGGCAGCGACGGCAUCUCCUUCACGUCUCUUCAGUUGUUGGCACGAGCACAUGCUCGGCCGAAGUUGGUUAUCCUGUGCUGAAUACCCAUCGUAGGGGCAUUUUGUCGGCUAGAAUUGUUCGUUUCCCGCCUUGUGCUGCCGCUCCACGUGCGUGGCGGUGCGGGGUGGGCCAAAAUCGCAAACGCCGUGUAUCGCACCUCGUUCGCCCUUGUGGGUGUUCGGGUUGACGACCCAUGACGUUAUGCUCGAUCUCUCGGGUACGGUACAUCACGUGGGUACGAGGCCAUCGGCCUCCGAGCACCACAAUCAAGCGUUCUACGCUUCGUGCGAACGACGGUCGGUCCGGUCUUUGGCUGUGCUCUUGUGGCUCGGUUCAAGUCGUGCCGGCGUCGGUGAGG